GAGUUUGAUCGUGGCUCAGAUUGAACGCUGGCGGCAUGCCUUACACAUGCAAGUCGAACGGCAGCAUGAUCUAGCUUGCUAGAUUGAUGGCGAGUGGCGAACGGGUGGGUAAUACAUCGGAACGUGCCCUGUAGUGGGGGAUAACUAGUCGAAAGAUUAGCUAAUACCGCAUACGACCUGAGGGUGAAAGUGGGGGACCGCAAGGCCUCAUGCUAUAGGAGCGGCCGAUGUCUGAUUAGCUAGUUGGUGGGGUAAAGGCCCACCAAGGCGACGAUCAGUAGCUGGUCUGAGAGGACGAUCAGCCACACUGGGACUGAGACACGGCCCAGACUCCUACGGGAGGCGAGCAGUGGGGAAGUUUUGGACAAUGGGCGAAAGCCUGAUCCAGCAAUGCCGCGUGUGUG
rnacentral:rRNA from 1 species